rnacentral:tRNA from 4 species
GCGGGAUUAGUAUAGUGGCAGUACGCUACCUUGCCAUGGUAGAGGCGCCGGUUCGACUCCGGUAUCCCGCUCAA